rnacentral:rRNA from 1 species
GAUGAACGCUGGCGGCGUGCCUAAUACAUGCAAGUCGAGCGAACAGACGAGGAGCUUGCUCCUUUGACGUUAGCGGCGGACGGGUGAGUAACACGUAGGUAACCUACCUAUAAGACUGGGAUAACUUCGGGAAACCGGAGCUAAUACCGGAUAAUAUUUCGAACCGCAUGGUUCGAUAGUGAAAGAUGGCUUUGCUAUCACUUAUAGAUGGACCUGCGCCGUAUUAGCUAGUUGGUAAGGUAACGGCUUACCAAGGCAACGAUACGUAGCCGACCUGAGAGGGUGAUCGGCCACACUGGAACUGAGACACGGUCCAGACUCCUACGGGAGGCAGCAGUAGGGAAUCUUCCGAAAUGGGCGAAAGCCUGACGGAGCAACGCCGCGUGAGUGAUGAAGGUCUUCGGAUCGUAAAACUCUGUUAUUAGGGAAGAACAAACGUGUAAGUAACUGUGCACGUCUUGACGGUACCUAAUCAGAAAGCCACGGCUAACUACGU